UAUUAGUUGCCCCAGGGCACCAGGCAGGAUUGUAAAAGUCCUGAAGACUUUGGCCCAUUUUAAAAACAAGCGUGUGGUGUGGUCAAAAGGCAAAAAAAGCUAAGUGUGACAACUGUCAAGACAGCCUGUUAGUAUGCAGUUUGCUGAGGCUUUUGAUAGAGAUCUUGAUUGUAUUAAGGCUCAGUUUCACCGAAUGCUUCUUCUGUGUCUGAGAUGGUACUAUUGUGUUUCUUCUUUCUUCUUAAUUACAUCAGUCUUUUUCCUAAUCUACUGAGUUAUUUUUGACCUAAAGGGGUGGCAGAGUGAGGUCACUAAGGGAACAGUUGGAUCUUGGGUUCUGUCACCUACCAGCUGCCUGGCAUCCGACAAGUUUCUUGACCUCUCUGUGCUUCAUGACUAGUUUCAGUGGUGACCUGCUUUAAUCUCCGUGAGGUCCUUACAACGGGGCCCUGAACGUUGUAAGUGCUCUGUGUUUGCUGUCCUCGUUUUUUAUUAUUCCAGGGACAAGGCUUUUGGUCAUGCUGUCAUAUUUUCUCACUGGAUUGACAGCUGCGGCGUGCCCCUUUCCCCCUUUUCCCAUUUGCACGAGUUUUCUGAGGGUAAAAGUCAUCGUAUCCUGAAGCAUCACUAGGACUUACCGUAAGGCCAUCUGGAGCUGGGGCCUCUGCUAAUGGACAAUUUCCUCGCAGUAUACAGAACUCAGAGCCAUGAAGGACACAUGGUCGGGGGCGCCGCUGUUGCAACGGUCAUGACGCCAUAGCCAGUAUUUAUGGCUUCCUUCCUCCUUCCUGAAUCCCACGUUCCCUCUGCCUCCAGCCAGUACUGCAGCUGCUCAGGAGACUUUACCAGCCUCAGUUUAUCUUCCGGGUCCCUUGGACUGCAAGGAGAUAAAACCAGUCAAUCCUAAAGGAAACCAACCCUGAAUAUUCAUGAGAAGGACUGAUGCGGAAGCUGAAACUCCAACACUUUGGCCACUUGAUGUGACGAGCUGACUCACUGGAAGAGACCCUGAUGCUGGGAAAGAUUGAAGGCAGGAAGAGAAAAAGUGACAGAUGACAAGGUGGUUGGAUGGCAUCAUGGACUCAAUGGAUAUGAGCUUGAGCAAACUGGGAGACAGUGAAGAACAGGGAAGCCUGGAGUGCUGCAGUUCACGGGGUCAGAAAGAGGCAUACAAGACUGAGCAACUGAACACCACCACCAUCAUCAAUCUUCUGAGUUAAUAACUUUUCUUAUCUCCCUGAAGAUAAUCAUUAAAGUUUAUUUUUAACUCAAGUUUUCUCAUGCACAGUCUCU
ensembl:lncRNA